rnacentral:rRNA from 1 species
CAGCAGCCGCGGGAAUACGUAGGUGGCAAGUGUUGUCCGGAAUUAUUGGGCGUAAAGGGCUCGCAGGCGGUUUCUUAAGUCUGAUGUGAAAGCCCCCGGCUCAACCGGGGAGGGUCAUUGGAAACUGGGAAACUUGAGUGCAGAAGAGGAGAGUGGAAUUCCACGUGUAGCGGUGAAAUGCGUAGAGAUGUGGAGGAACACCAGUGGCGAAGGCGACUCUCUGGUCUGUAACUGACGCUGAGGAGCGAAAGCGUGGGGAGCGAACGGGAUUAGAUACCCCGGUAGUCCCUGUCUCUUAUAC